rnacentral:rRNA from 1 species
UACGAAGGGGGCUAGCGUUGUUCGGAAUUACUGGGCGUAAAGCGCGCGCAGGCGGCUCUUCAAGUCAGGGGUGAAAGCCCAGAGCUCAACUCUGGAACUGCCUUUGAGACUGAAGAGCUUGAGUACGGGAGAGGUGAGUGGAAUUCCCAGUGUAGAGGUGAAAUUCGUAGAUAUCGGGAGGAACACCUGUGGCGAAAGCGGCUCACUGGACCACAACUGACGCUGAGGCGCGAAAGCUAGGGGAGCAAACAGG